rnacentral:lncRNA from 1 species
UCCGUGUCCUCAGAAUCAGUAGUGACGCUAGUGAAAUAAAUAGUCUCACAGACAAAAGGAGACUUUGGGAAAAGAGAGGUUUGGUUUAAACCCAAUCCUGACAUUCAGUAAUUGUGUGUGACUCGGUGUAAGUUCCACCUUUGUACACCUCAGCUUCACUAAAUGGAGUACAUACAUAAUCCACAGCAAAAGAUGCUAAGAGAUAGACGCAGUGCUAGGUCGUCACAUUCUAAGAACUCAAUGGAGUCACACACUGUGAAACACUUUCAAGGUGGUGGCUCACAGCGAGGGUGCACAAGAAGACAGCUGCUGAUGCCACAGCAGUGCUGCUUCCGGGAAAUCUACAUCUGAAUCAACAUGCUCCCUUCCGAUUUCAACAAGCAGCAAAGCAACAUCUGGCAGUGCCAAGAAUGGGGUGCACCCCAGCCCCACCUGUCCCAUGGGGGCAGCCUGCACAUCCCCACUCAGGCAUGUGUUUACUUCACUGAGCUGAGCUCUGG